rnacentral:misc_RNA from 1 species
AAAGUCGUAACAAGGUUUUCGUAGGUGAACCUGCGGAAGGAUCAUUAAUGAAUCUCGGGAGUCCCUCUUAAUCGGAGAAGGCCCGCAAUCAUUAUUUCACACACUUGUGCAUUUGUCCCACCCUUAAUACGUUUUUAACGCUUAUGCAUUUGAAACAGUCGUUGGUCAUACAAACAUGAUAAAUGAAAGAAAAACUUUCAGCAAUGGAUCUCUUGGCUCUC